GUCACUGUAAAUUCAGGAGUCAUGAAUCUAGUACUAAUUUUUUCCUUUCAAGCUCUUGGAAUACCCUUUCGUGCCAAAUUGUGAGUCCUGUCUUAUAUCCAGACACGGCGAUGACUUGAUUGUAACUCCUUUUGCCCAGGUCCUUGCCAGCUUGCGAAGUGUGAGAAACAACUUCACUAUACUGACAAACCUUCAUGGUACAUCUAACAAGAGGUCCCCAGCUGCUAGUCAGCCUCCUGUCUCCAGAGUCAACCCACAAGGACAGUGCAUCCACUUUUCUUGGUGUGUUGAGAGCUGCAGAGAGGAAGGGCCACCUUGAAGGAACACCAUGGAGUUCUGUUGGAACUGAAAUUCUUCUUCACACAAAAUGCAACCAGUUCUAUGAUAUUUGUUAAAGUCCAAAUAAUGUUUUCUCCUAAAUCUGUUCCCUACUGUUGUAGCAGUAGAUUUGAGAAAAACCACAGGAGAAACAAUUAAGAUGAACUCACACUGAGAUCACCUAAUGCCUAACACCUAACGAUGCCUCACAUGCUUUUCUAUUUCCAGCAGCGCUUCAUACUUAAAAUCUUUCUCUCUUGGUUGUUGUGUUUUCUUUCUGGUAUCCUGAUCAUAAGUAUAACGGAAGUAUUACAAAAGCUUAGCUUCUAAAAGAAGGGAACAAAAGCAGCAGAUUCUAUUGGCUCAUUGGCUUCUGAAGUAUUUGUGGUGCAUGCUUUUUAAAAUAUUUU
rnacentral:sRNA from 1 species